AUACGGAGGGGGUUAGCGUUGUUCGGAAUUACUGGGCGUAAAGCGCACGUAGGCGGAAUGUUAAGUUAGAGGUGAAAUCCCAGGGCUCAACCCUGGAACUGCCUUUAAUACUGGCAAUCUAGAGACCGAGAGAGGUGAGUGGAAUUCCGAGUGUAGAGGUGAAAUUCGUAGAUAUUCGGAGGAACACCAGUGGCGAAGGCGGCUCACUGGCUCGGUACUGACGCUGAGGUGCGAAAGCGUGGGGAGCAAACAGGAUUAGAAACCCCUGUAGUCC
rnacentral:rRNA from 1 species